AGAGAAAUGCUUGCCAAGGUAAGAAGAGUGGACAUCUCAAUCAGUCGCACCGAGGCAGGCUCCCUCCAUUCUUUACAGCAGGGCUAUUAUGCGGGUCCAUGAGGCGCAGCGUGUCUCUGAUCACAGCCACCUUUACCUCUUCAUCCACCAGGCUGGGGAUAUUUUCAAACACUCCUGGAGAGAGCUUGGAAGGAAACAAAGAAACGGGCCUGGUAAGGCACUCGGAGCCGACAGUUGUCCAGACAGCAGGUGGAACGGGUGCUCCAGCUGGGCUGGCCUUUUCUUUAGAAGAUGCUUUGGGUUUUACCUGGGAAGCAGGCACAGCACCACACAAACUGCUCAGAGAAGCUAGAGCCAAGAGUUCUCCACCCGCUUUAGCUCAAAUGUCUGUCAUCAAUUUAAUGGAUGUCACUCUUGGUCCACUCCCUCCAGGGUUCAAGCUCCCAGCCUGGAUCCUGGUCUCAUGGGCCCCAGAGUUUCCUGUGAGAUAACAGAAAACCUCACAGCUGCACCCACCCUGAACACACCAUUCAACUGCCGAGUGAGUUCCCCCUCCAGCUAAAGCCGUUUUUCCAAUUGUGAGGAUUUCCUACUAAUGAACUGGCUAAAUAAUCUUUAGUUCACUUCCAAGUAUAUACAACUUCAUUACAGUCAAGAGCACUUCAGAUCACUGGCUCGUGUCUUCGUCCCGCCCAACACUGCAUGCCCAUGUCUCUCAUAUUCCUGCAGUAAUCCACACAUUAAACUGAUCAAUGACA